rnacentral:lncRNA from 1 species
ACAGUGGGGGGUUUGAGGCAGGGGUGGCUGGAACUUAUCGGGGCCAGCCGGCAACUAAAUGCCACGCUGAUCCCAGGAGAUAGCCAACUGAGGUUUUUUUCACAGAAGUUUAUUUAGAAGCCUGCGACAGACUGCCCUGCCAGCGGCUCCACUUACCUCAGCACUGGUGGCUCCAUCAGAUCAGGUUUGGAAUCACACAUCAGUUGGAGGAUAAAGAUCCCCACUGUAUUUAGUGGCAGACACCUUCUGAAGACAAAUACCUCGUCAGCUACAGAGACGAUGCCUUGCCAGCCUCUCUCGUCCCUGACGGCCGAUUAUCACACCAUGUGAGCAGCUCAGGUUCCUGUGUAUCUGUUUCCUGAAUACCGUCUCCUUCUAUAAAACACUGGCAGGGUAAGUACUUCACCUCCCUUCUCCUUUAGAAAGCAUGGAUGCCGUUCAAAUGAUGGCGUGGGAUAAAGGAGAAAUAGGCUGCUGCUUUAAAGAUGGAAUGGUUAGCCUUCCUAAUGAGAAAUACUUGUCAUUCUUUUGCUUCAGAUUGUUGCAACUCACAUUCCUGUAGCAGAGUUCCUUCACUUUGCAGAGUGAAACCCUUUCCCUUACAGUAUAUGUAGUAUAUGUGUGUGCAGAAAGUGUGUGUACUGGGUAUCCUUCUCUAUUGCUCUCCCCAUUAAUGUUACUAAUGGUGUAACCAGGAAUGGAGGUGGAUACGUUUAAUCCCAGUACUUGGGAGGCAAAGGCGCUUGAAGUCAGCCUGCUGAGCUCCACCAUAGUCAGGACUUCACAGAGAAACCCUAUCUUGAAAAGAUAAAACCAAAAAGCUUAUGUGUAUAUGCAAGGUGCAUAUCUAUCUGUGUGCUGACGCCCAUGGAGAAGCAGCAUCAGACGGUCUGGAGCUGUGAGCCUCCUGUUGGUGCUAGGAUCUGGACUUUUGUGGACUUUGGUACCUCUCUUAGAGCAGAAAGCUUUUAACUCCUGACCUGUCUGUCUAUCCAGGCCCUCUACUUUUGCUGUUGUUGGGGUAAGGCCUUUUAAUGAACCUGGAGUCUGCCAUGUUGGCUACCCUUGCUGGGCAGCAAGCCUCAGAAGUCUAUGUCUGCCUCCGCAGAGCUGGGUUAUAGGUGCACACUCUUCACACCCCGCUUUCUCUGUUGGAGGCAGUGCAGGUCCUCAUGUGUGUCCAGCUUCACUUACUGAGACACCUAUCUUCCUGGCUCCAAAUCCCACUGAUCUCUUUUUAAUAAGGCUGGCCGUCACCCUCCUCUGUUGAGUCCUGUCCUCUUCUGGUUUUACCAUUUAAGGAAAGCUGCCUCCACUCUCAGGAAUUCUGUGGUGUUUAUAAUUUACUCUCUCUCUCUCUGGAGAAUGAUUUUGAUCAAAUUUUUUAACUUUUCUUUGUAACAUUGAUGUUUUAUUUUCUAAUCCCCCCUGCCACCCACAGCAGUUUCUUAAACUUCAUUUGGUUGGUGUCACAGUCAUCCAGUGGAGACCACAACCACCGGUUCAUUUUGCACAGGCCACUGAGCAGUCAUAAGAUGGUGACAACUUUGGGUCUUUAGUGACCUGGACUGGAUUCGACUCACUGACCUAGAGGUGAAAGGCUCUGUAUUUCAUUACUAAUCCCUUGAGCCAUCCAGCCCCCUGAAAAUGAUUCUUUGGUUUUAUUAUUGCAAAGACCAUUUAUAAAAUCAUGGACUGGAUUUAGGAAAGCAACCAUGAAAUAGCAAGGGACAACAAAAUUGAUUGAAACUUCUUAAAUGUUGUGUGGGCUGGAGACUCUCAGACAGGAGGAGGGGAAGUUCUAUAGAGGCACCUCCUUCCUUACUCCAGGAGUGCGACCUGCUCACUUAGACGUGGCAACUUCAGACCCACACACCAUGCCUCAGGGAAUUAAUUCCUAAAUAAAGAAAAUGGAAAAGCAAACUACGAAACAGCCAAUAAUCUUUAUUUUGCACUUCCCCCACCCUUUGUCUCCUCCAAAAAGCACUAAUGGGUAUACUUGUGCAUGUGAAAAUAUUGUAUAAAGUAUUCAGGAUGAUCUCUAAUAAAUCAAAAAGAAAAGAGACACAUCUCAACAUAGAUACUUUUUGGGGUGUGGGGUGGGGAUGGCGGACAAUCUGGCUUCUAGAACAAGGGGGGUAGUGACUUCCACACUCUUCACAGGUUGACUCCAUUCCCACUUUUCUGCAAUUUAACAUCAAGGCCGAGAACCGCAUUUCUGAAACCACAUUAUAUGUUUUAAAAUAGGGGUAAUUAUAAUGCUAAUAUCAAUUGAGUUGGGAGUAAAAAAAAAAUCACAUUUCUAUUCAUAUAUUUGUAUUAGGUUCAAAUCCUGCAUUCUAACAUUCAAGACAGCCUUCACGCAUGCCCAAAUUGGGAUUAUUUCAAAAUCAAGUAAAAGUCCAUAGUUAUUCCAAAGUCACUAAAAUAUGCUAAUAAAGUUAAAUUUGAUGUUUUUUUUUUACAUUAAAAAUAAAACAUUUGGUUUACGUUUCAGAUAUCUAUAAAUAAAUAGUGGGCAGUAUAGUAAUAUAAUAAAGUUUUGUGAUACCCUGAAAUUUGAUGAGUUUUCUUAAAAAAAUCCAUAAUAUACUUCAUUUCAACCUUAAAGCACAAUAUCCAUGAACAAAUCUGUGAAAUAAAACAAUAUAAACACAAAUGCUACAGUAUUUUCUCUUUUUUUACUUUUGUGGAAACUACAUGUCCUUUUUAGUAAAAGUGAGAGAAAUUUACAGAAAAUAUAUAACAAACAAAACAGUUUCAAACCAUCAACUUGAGAUGUCAAUUGCCUGUUUCCUUCCGGUUGCGGGGUCCUCCCCGCCCAUUGCGUGGGCGGUGCGCUUGGGCAGGGUCAUGGCUCUGGGUCCUCGUCUCUCUUCUUUGCCUAUGCACAGCAGCAAUUACAGACAUGGCUGAAAUCGCAGUGGAUUCCAGAGAAAGCCAGAAUUAAACACG